AUGUCGUCCGGCGAGUAUGAGCGCUACGUGGCCAUGGCUGCGACGGCGGCGGGGGCGGCGAUGGUGAUCAACGGCCUGAUGAACGAGCUGCUGCCCUACGAGCUCCGCGACGCGCUCACCCUCUCCACCGCGGACGUGGUGCGCCGCCUCCGCGCCCGCCUCUCCCCCACCCACACCGUCGUCAUCGACGAGGCCGAGGGCCUCGCGCCCAACCAGCUCUUCGACGCCGCCCGCGCCUACCUCGCCUCGCUCACCGGCACCGCCUCCGCCGCCCGCCGCCUCCGCGCCUCCCGCGUUAACGAGGCCCAGGGCAUCCUCGUCACCAUGGACCACGGCGAGGAAACCGUCGACGUCCACGACGGCGUCACCUACACCUGGCGCCUCGUCUCCCGCAACGUCGCCGGUAACAGCGGCUCCUUCCCAAGCCACGGCUCCGGCGCCGGACACAACGGCCGCCGCGGCCCCCACGGCGGCUGCCACAGGUCCUUCGAGCUCAGCUUCCACAAGAAGCACAAGGAGCAGGCGCUCGCCUCGUACCUGCCGUUCGUCGUGGACGCCGCCAAGGCCAUCCGGGACCGGCACCGGGACCUCAAGAUGCACAUGAUCGAGUACGACGCGUGGACCCCCGUCGACCUCCGCCACCCCUCCACCUUCGACACGAUCGCCAUGGACGGCGACCUCAAGCGAUCCGUCAUGGACGACCUCGAGCGGUUCGUCAGGAGGAAGGACUACUACCGCAGGACCGGCAGGGCGUGGAAGCGCGGGUACCUGCUCUACGGCCCGCCGGGCACCGGCAAGUCCAGCCUCGUAGCCGCCAUGGCCAACUACCUCAAGUUCGACAUCUACGACCUCGAGCUGACCGAGGUCAAGUCCAACUCGGACCUCCGCAGGCUGCUCGUCGGCAUGAGCAACCGCUCCAUCCUCGUCGUUGAGGACAUCGACUGUAGCAUCGACCUGCCGCAGCGUGGCGAUCAAGGCGGCGAGAGGCGUGGGAGGCACAGCUUCACCGGAGGAGAAGACAACGAGGACAAGGUGACGUUAUCCGGGCUGCUCAACUUCGUUGACGGCCUGUGGUCGACGAGCGGGGAGGAGAGGAUCAUCGUCUUCACCACAAACUACAAGGAGCGGCUCGACCCGGCACUGCUGCGGCCCGGCAGGAUGGACAUGCACGUCCACAUGGGAUAUUGCACCUCGGAGUCCUUCAGGAUCCUGGCCAGGAACUACCACUUCGUCGAAGAUGACCACACCAUGUAUCUGGAGAUCGAGAAGCUGAUGGAGGAGGUGCCGAUCACACCGGCAGAGGUUGCCGAGGUUCUGAUGAGGAACGACGGAGCCGACGCUGCACUUAGUGAUCUCGUCGGGUUCCUCGAGGCAAAGAGGGGAGAAGUCGGUGCCAACAAGGGCGUAAAACAUCAUGGAAACAACAAGGUGGAUAAAUAUGAGCAGACAAUGGUGUUGUACUGCACUCCGGAGUACUUUAGGGGCGUGUCCCGUGACUACCAAUCACUUAAAGACCGUGCCAUGAUUCCCGAGGUCGAGCAGUUGUUGAGUGAGGUGCCGACCACGAUCGAAGAGGUCACCGAUGUUGUAGGGAGGAAUAACGGCGGGGCGGACGCCGCAAUCCGAGAUCUCAUCGGGUUCCUCAAGGCAAAGAGGGGUGACGCCGGUGAGAACAAUGGUGCGAACCAAGAUGGAAACCACAAUGGUGAUAAUAAAUAG
rnacentral:rRNA from 1 species